rnacentral:rRNA from 1 species
CCGGGGCUAAUACCGGAUAACAUUUUGAACCGCAUGGUUCGAAAUUGAAAGGCGGCUUCGGCUGUCACUUAUGGAUGGACCCGCGUCGCAUUAGCUAGUUGGUGAGGUAACGGCUCACCAAGGCAACGAUGCGUAGCCGACCUGAGAGGGUGAUCGGCCACACUGGGACUGAGACACGGCCCAGACUCCUACGGGAGGCAGCAGUAGGGAAUCUUCCGCAAUGGACGAAAGUCUGACGGAGCAACGCCGCGUGAGUGAUGAAGGCUUUCGGGUCGUAAAACUCUGUUGUUAGGGAAGAACAAGUGCUAGUUGAAUAAGCUGGCACCUUGACGGUACCUAACCAGAAAGCCACGGCUAACUACGUGCCAGCAGCCGCGGUAAUACGUAGGUGGCAAGCGUUAUCCGGAAUUAUUGGGCGUAAAGCGCGCGCAGGUGGUUUCUUAAGUCUGAUGUGAAAGCCCACGGCUCAACCGUGGAGGGUCAUUGGAAACUGGGAGACUUGAGUGCAGAAGAGGAAAGUGGAAUUCCAUGUGUAGCGGUGAAAUGCGUAGAGAUAUGGAGGAACACCAGUGGCGAAGGCGACUUUCUGGUCUGUAACUGACACUGAGGCGCGAGGGGCUAAUACCGGAUAACAUUUUGAACCGCAUGGUUCGAAAUUGAAAGGCGGCUUCGGCUGUCACUUAUGGAUGGACCCGCGUCGCAUUAGCUAGUUGGUGAGGUAACGGCUCACCAAGGCAACGAUGCGUAGCCGACCUGAGAGGGUGAUCGGCCACACUGGGACUGAGACACGGCCCAGACUCCUACGGGAGGCAGCAGUAGGGAAUCUUCCGCAAUGGACGAAAGUCUGACGGAGCAACGCCGCGUGAGUGAUGAAGGCUUUCGGGUCGUAAAACUCUGUUGUUAGGGAAGAACAAGUGCUAGUUGAAUAAGCUGGCACCUUGACGGUACCUAACCAGAAAGCCACGGCUAACUACGUGCCAGCAGCCGCGGUAAUACGUAGGUGGCAAGCGUUAUCCGGAAUUAUUGGGCGUAAAGCGCGCGCAGGUGGUUUCUUAAGUCUGAUGUGAAAGCCCACGGCUCAACCGUGGAGGGUCAUUGGAAACUGGGAGACUUGAGUGCAGAAGAGGAAAGUGGAAUUCCAUGUGUAGCGGUGAAAUGCGUAGAGAUAUGGAGGAACACCAGUGGCGAAGGCGACUUUCUGGUCUGUAACUGACACUGAGGCGCGAAGCCCACGGCUCAACCGUGGAGGGUCAUUGGAAACUGGGAGACUUGAGUGCAGAAGAGGAAAGUGGAAUUCCAUGUGUAGCGGUGAAAUGCGUAGAGAUAUGGAGGAACACCAGUGGCGAAGGCGACUUUCUGGUCUGUAACUGACACUGAGGCGCGAGGGGCUAAUACCGGAUAACAUUUUGAACCGCAUGGUUCGAAAUUGAAAGGCGGCU